rnacentral:rRNA from 1 species
AUCCAGACUCCUACGGGAGGCAGCAGUGAGGAAUAUUGGUCAAUGGGCGUAAGCCUGAACCAGCCAAGUCGCGUGAGGGAUGAAGGAUCUAUGGUUCGUAAACCUCUUUUAUAAGGGAAUAAAGUGCGGGACGCGUCCCGCUUCGCAUGUACCUUAUGAAUAAGGAUCGGCUAACUCCGUGCCAGCAGCCGCGGUAAUACGGAGGAUCCGAGCGUUAUCCGGAUUUAUUGGGUUUAAAGGGUGCGUAGGCGGCUUUUUAAGCCGGCGGGGAAAGUCUGUGGCUCAACCAUAGAUUGGCCGUUGAAGCGGGGGGGCUUGAGUUUGUGUGAGGCAGGCGGA